rnacentral:lncRNA from 1 species
GGAGGGCUAGCAAGUGGAGCUAUUCUUGGCCGAAUACAAGGUUGGUCAUUAUACUCCACGGUCAUAUGUUGACUCAUAUUUCUUUUCAUACUUAAACUCUUACAGUGACUCGCAUCUGCAGUUUUCCUCAUGUCAAAUUUGACUGUAGUGCUCAAUUCCUCCUUGUCCUUAUGAAUUUGAUCUCUAUAGUACACCAAGCAAGCUUAUAUAUCUGAAAAACUUAAUUUUAUGAUAUCACACAUACUAGCAGAUAAAGAUGCAUAUUAUAUUACAUUACGCACUGAAGCUCAAGGAAAUGUGCGAUUAUAGUCAGUCAUGUGCGUUCUGGUGGAGCUUGUGCAAAUGCUUAGAAGGUUGGUUCUAGGCCAACUAGGUGCAUCAGAGAUCAGACACGACCAAAAUAAGUUUUUACCACAUGACCUGGUAUAACGGGACUCUCUUAUUUUCACACAAGCACGUGUGUUUUUCAACUAUAUAAAUGCAUCCAUGUACCAAACAUCACAGGGUGAAUUUAAACGACACCUUAGGGUUAUCUUGUUCUCUAUAAUCACAUGCUGUGUGUCAAGGCAACUAUUGAGAAAGUCUAUUUUCUGUAUUUUGUGAGAUGUCAGAUUGCUUAUCAUAGAUACUUUCAAGGUGGGAUCCUCCCUUCCAUUCAAAGUUUAGUUUACUUCGUAAGUAAUGUUUAGUUUACUUCGUAAGCUUGCAAAAACAUCUACAUUGUAAUCCGUAACUCUUAACUUAGUUUGUCCUAGUACUUAUCAAUUUUACGUGCGUUGUCAUACUUAACGCAUGCCUAAUUUUAACACUAAAUCAACUUCAUUAAUUUUCAGGUACAAUACUUGGAUCAGCGGAAGAGGAGCAUCAGCAGCACGGGCAGAGGAGCAGCAGCCGCUAGUUCUUCAGGUACAAUGGGGGGACAACAGAUAUUGCUAUCUGAAAAAUGAGUUAGCUAGUCAUCUAAGUUGAGCUGAUUUUGAUUUCCGUAUGUUAUGGGGGAGAACAGAUAUUGCUAUAUGUUUAUUCUUGAGGGCACAAACUUGCUAAACUAUUGAUGAUUUUUUGUUGUGUGACCUAUUUUUGUCCAUAUGAAAGAAGAGGACCAUAUGGUCUGUGUCCUUU